rnacentral:tRNA from 1 species
GGGAAUAUAGCUCAGUGGUCGAGCGCGUGCUUGGUGUGCACAAGGUCCUGGGUUCAUCUCCCAGUGUCUCUG